rnacentral:rRNA from 1 species
AUUGAACGCUGGCGGCAUGUCUUACACAUGCAAGUCGAACGGUAACAGGUCUUCGGAUGCUGACGAGUGGCGAACGGGUGAGUAAUACAUCGGAACGUGCCCGAGAGUGGGGGAUAACGAAGCGAAAGCUUUGCUAAUACCGCAUACGAUCUCAGGAUGAAAGCAGGGGACCGCAAGGCCUUGCGCUCACGGAGCGGCCGAUGGCAGAUUAGGUAGUUGGUGGGAUAAAAGCUUACCAAGCCGACGAUCUGUAGCUGGUCUGAGAGGACGACCAGCCACACUGGGACUGAGACACGGCCCAGACUCCUACGGGAGGCAGCAGUGGGGAAUUUUGGACAAUGGGCGCGAGCCUGAUCCAGCCAUGCCGCGUGCAGGAUGAAGGCCUUCGGGUUGUAAACUGCUUUUGUACGGAACGAAAAGACUCUGGUUAAUACCUGGGGUCCAUGACGGUACCGUAAGAAUAAGCACCGGCUAACUACGUGCCAGCAGCCGCCGUAA